rnacentral:rRNA from 1 species
AACGAACGCUGGCGGCGCGCCUAAUACAUGCAAGUCGAGCGAGAAGACGUAGCAAUACGUUUGUAAAGCGGCGAACGGGUGAGGAAUACAUGGGUAACCUACCCUCGAGUGGGGAAUAACUAGCCGAAAGGUUAGCUAAUACCGCGUACGCUCCUUGGACUUCGGUUCAGGGAGGAAAGCGAUACCGUGGGUAUCGCGCUCUUGGAUGGGCUCAUGUCCUAUCAGCUUGUUGGUGAGGUAAUGGCUCACCAAGGCUUCGACGGGUAGCUGGUCUGAGAGGACGAUCAGCCACACUGGCACUGCGACACGGGCCAGACUCCUACGGGAGGCAGCAGUAAGGAAUAUUGCGCAAUGGGCGAAAGCCUGACGCAGCGACGCCGCGUGGGGGAGUGAAGGUC